GCCCAGCCCAGCCCAUCUAAGGCUCCUCAACGGUGGAGCAACACCGCAGCACCAACGCGAACCCUCACCACUCUCUCCGUCUCGCACCAUCCCCUCGCCGCCGGCGCCGCCGGCGCCGCCAUGCUCCGGCUCCGUCGCGGCGUCCUCGCCCAGGUCCUCUCGUCUCUCUCCGCCUCUCCCGUAUCCCCUCUCCACUGCCUCAUCUCCGCCGCCGCGCCCGCCAUCUCCCCAAACCCUAGCUUCGCCGUGGAGGAGUACCUCGUCUCCACCUGCGGCCUCACCCGACCCCAGGCCCUCAAGGCCUCCGCCAAGCUCUCCCACCUCAAGUCCCCCGCCAAUCCCGACGCCGUGCUCGCCUUCCUCGCCGGCCUCGGCCUCUCCGACGCCGAUGUCGCAGCUCUCGUUGCCAAGGACCCCAAGUUCCUCUGCGCCGGCGUCGAGAGAACCCUGGCCCCCGUCGUCGUCGGGCUCACCGGCCUCGGCCUCUCGCGUCCUGAGAUCGCACGCCUCGUCUCGCUCGCCCGUUACAGCUUCCGCUAUAGAUCCAUCGUCUCCAAGCUGCAGUACUACAUGCCUCUCUUUGGGUCCUUUGAGAAUCUCCUCCGAGCCCUCAAGAGGAACUUCUACCUUCACUCGGCUGACCUCGAUGAUGUGGUCAAGCCCAACGUCGCGUUGCUGCGGGAGUGCGGGCUAGGUGCCUGUGAUAUUGCCAAGCUAUGCAUCAGUCAACCAUGGCUUCUCGCCGCCAACCCCGAGCGUGUCCAGGCGAUGGUGGAAUGCGCUGAAAACAUAGGUGUGCCCCGUGCCUCUAGGAUGUUCAGGCAUGCGCUGCACGCUGUUGCAUUUCUCAGCGAGGACAAGAUCGCAGCCAGGGUGAAGUACUUGAAGAACACCUUCAGGUGGACGGAUGCUGAGGUAGGCAUGGCUGUUUCUAAGUAUCCAACGGUGCUGAAUAGGACUAAGGAGUUUCUGCAGAGAAGGUCAGAGUUCCUGAUCUCUGAUUUGGGGUUGGAACCGGCAUACAUUGCUCAUCACCCGCUAAUGCUCGCGUACAGCCUGGAGGGGAGGCUAAGGCCCCGAUACUGCGUUGUAACUUUUCUUAAGGAAAAUGGAUUGCUAGAUCAUGGUCGAGAUUACUAUUAUGCAGUUAAGAUGACUGAGAAGGUAUUCAUGGAGAAGUUCAUAUGCCCUCACAAGGACGCUGCACCAUACCUUGCUGAAGACUAUGUAGCGGCUUGCAGAGGGGAAUUGCCGGCUAGAUUCAGAUUUACAUGAAGCAAGGAAGGGCUAUGGAAAUUGGUAACUGUGUAUGUCAUGACAGAGUUUUCACUAUUCCUAGUAGCAGUUGCCGGUUAUUUUAAAAGCUUGGCUACCACCGACCGUGUGUCUAUUCAUUCUGCAUGCCAACUAGAGAAGACAUGUCACACAUAGGAGAAGAUUUGCUGAUAUUGGUUUCAGGUGCAGGCUGCCUAAAUGAGGCACAAGACUGGCCUCGCUUUGGGGCACACUUCAGUGUCAGGUUUCUCUAGGGCGAUGGCUUGGAAAUGAUGUACUCUCAGGCUUCUGUUUUCCCUGUUGAGCUAAAAGGAAAAAAACAGCAUUGUCCUGUGAGAUUUCUUCUGCAAACUAUGGACUUUAUUAGUGUAAAAUGAAUGAUUUCCUUAUGAUAUGAUAAUGAUUCUUCUUCCAUUCUAAUUAACAAAUUUAGCUAAGGACAAGCAGAAUGAUGAGGUUUAGCUAUUAUAGCCUUUUAUCAUGCGAAGAUAAAACAUUAUUCUAUCAAAAUAGUACUUAUAUCCCUUUUUCA